CCUACGGGUGGCAGCAGUGAGGAAUAUUGGUCAAUGGACGCGAGCCUGAACCAGCCAAGUCGCGUGAGGGAAGACGGUCCUAUGGAUUGUAAACCUCUUUUGUCGGGGAGCAAAAGACGCCACGCGUGGCGUUCCGAGCGUACCCGAAGAACAAGCAUCGGCUAACUCCGUGCCAGCAGCCGCGGUAAUACGGAGGAUGCGAGCGUUAUCCGGAUUUAUUGGGUUUAAAGGGUGCGCAGGCGGAAGAUCAAGUCAGCGGUAAAAUUGAGAGGCUCAACCUCUUCGAGCCGUUGAAACUGGUUGUCUUGAGUGAGUGAGAAGUAGGCGGAAUGCGUGGUGUAGCGGUGAAAUGCAUAGAGAUCACGCAGAACUCCGAUUGCGAAGGCAGCAUACCGGCGCGCAACUGACGCUCAUGCACGAAAGUGUGGGUAUCGAACAGGAUUAGAUACCCGAGUAGUC
rnacentral:rRNA from 1 species